rnacentral:lncRNA from 1 species
GUUCUUCAGGCACUCUAUCAGAUCUAGUCCCUUGAAUCUAUUUGUCAGUUCCACUGUAUAAUUUUAGGGGGGUUGAUUAGGUCAUCCCUGAACGGUCUAGUGGUUUUCCCUAUACUUUCAUAUUAAGUCUGAAUUUGGCAAUAAGGAGUUCAUGGUCUGAGAUUAUUUCAGAUUUGGGCUACUAUAGAUGAUACUGCUAUUAACAUUCUUGUGGAUAUACUUUGGUGCCUGACAUUCUGUAGUGUUCAUAUUCAGAGUGAAAUUGCUAGGACAUAGCUGCCCAUAUCUUCAUACUAGGCAAUUUUUUAUGUAGCACUCAAAAUCAGGCAAAAUUAACUCGCAUAUAAGUAUUUUCAGUCUCUACUAUGUAUGUAAAGAUGUUUUUCAAAGUGGUUGCACCAAUUUAAAUGUCAUCAAAAGUCAUGAUAACUCCUAUUUCUUCAUAUCGUUAACACUGUUUGGGAUUAUCAUACUAAUAUCAUCAUAUUUCUUUCUGCUUCUCAUUUCUUACCCCUCCCUUCUUUUUUGGUUUUCUGUUUGUUUAUCCCUUUGUACCCUGGAUAUUAAUUCUAAUAUGUAACAGGUCACUAAGUCUCUAUUCAUCUGUUUCCAAUUAUACUGAUAAACUCAGUCAUUUAGUUACUAACUUUGGUCAUUGUCUUUUCUAACUGUUAAAUUUCUGUUUAGUUCUUUUUAAUUUUAACAAUGACACUUUCUUUAGUUUUUUAUUUCCUGCCAAAAGAGUUUUCCCCUAUUUCCGUAAAAAUAGUAAACACAAUUUUUGUAAUAUGCAUUUGAAAAUUUCAGCAUUUACCUUCUUGAAGGAUCCGUUUCUGUUAUAUAUUAUUCCUGCUGCUUCUAUAUUUGAAAUAUAAUUUCCUUUUACAUAAUUGUAGAAGGGAAUGGCCAACCCACUCCAGUAUUCUUGCCUAGGAGAAUUCCAUGGACAGAGGAGCCUGGCAGGCCUCAGUUCAUUGGCUGACAGAAGUCAGAAACAACUUAGUGACUAACACUUUACAUAAUAUCUUUAACUUUUGCUUUGGACAGAAUAUUCAACCAACUCUUUGAAGGGACAAUACAAGACCUAAAAUAAAAAUACUUUCUUCCCAGAGGAUUUUUUUUUUCUGUCAGGAAUCUGGAGUCUAUCAGUCUGACACCAACUUAACUUGUUUUAAAAUAUGACACAAAUUAUGGUAUCUUAUAUUUUAAUCUACUCAUUGAAAAUUUUGAGGUCCAAAGAGAUAAAAUUGAAGUAAGAUGAGCUGAGACAAUGCCUUUGUCUUCUGUAACUUACUGUGUGAUUUUGAGUUGAAACUUUUGUUUCUAAUUUUUCUUAUCUGUUGAAAUAGUGCGUGCCUGUAACCCCCGGCAUAGUGAUUUUGCUUUUUUGUUCAUAUCUAUUUGGCAAGGCCAAGUCUUCGUUGUGGCAAGUAGAAUCUUAAACCUUUAGUUGUGGCUUGCAGAAUCUAGUUCCCUGACCAGGGAUCCAGCCUUAGCCCCCUUCAUUGGGAGUGUGGAGCCUUAGCCACUGGA